rnacentral:rRNA from 1 species
UGAGGAAUAUUGGACAAUGGAGGCAACUCUGAUCCAGCCAUGCCGCGUGCAGGAAGACUGCCCUAUGGGUUGUAAACUGCUUUUAUACAGGAAGAACCACACCUACGUGUAGGUGCUUGACGGUACUGUAUGAAUAAGGAUCGGCUAACUCCGUGCCAGCAGCCGCGGUAAUACGGAGGAUCCAAGCGUUAUCCGGAAUCAUUGGGUUUAAAGGGUCCGUAGGCGGGACAAUAAGUCAGUGGUGAAAGUCUGCCGCUUAACGGUAGAAUUGCCAUUGAUACUGUUGUUCUUGAAUUAGUAUGAAGUGGUUGGAAUGAGUAGUGUAGCGGUGAAAUGCAUAGAUAUUACUC